GAUGAACGCUGGCUACGGCUUAACACAUGCAAGUCGUGGGGAAACGGCAUUAUGUGCUUGCACAUUCUGGACGUCGACCGGCGCACGGGUGAGUAUCGCGUAUCCAACCUGCCCCUUACUUGGGGAUACCCCGUUGAAAGACGGCCUAAUACCCGAUGUGUUUCAUUGACGGCAUCCGAUAUGAAACAAAGGUUUUCCGGUAAGGGAUGGGGAUGCGUCUGAUUAGCUUGUUGGCGGGGCAACGGCCCACCAAGGCGACGAUCAGUAGGGGUUCUGAGAGGAAGGUCCCCCACAUUGGAACUGAGACACGGUCCAAACUCCUACGGGAGGCAGCAGUGAGGAAUAUUGGUCAAUGGACGCAAGUCUGAACCAGCCAAGUAGCGUGCAGGAUGACGGCCCUAUGGGUUGUAAACUGCUUUUAUGUGGGAAUAAAGUGGCGCACGUGUGCGCCAUUGCAUGUACCUCAUGAAUAAGGACCGGCUAAUUCCGUGCCAGCAGCCGCGGUAAUACGGAAGGUCCGGGCGUUAUCCGGAUUUAUUGGGUUUAAAGGGAGUGUAGGCGGUCUGUUAAGCGUGUUGUGAAAUUUAGGUGCUCAACAUUUAACUUGCAGCGCGAACUGUCAGACUUGAGUACACGCAGCGCAGGCGGAAUUCAUGGUGUAGCGGUGAAAUGCUUAGAUAUCAUGAGGAACUCCGAUCGCGAAGGCAGCCUGCGGGAGUGUUACUGACGCUGAAGCUCGAAGGUGCGGGGUAUCGAACAGGG
rnacentral:rRNA from 1 species